AUGCAAGUCGAACGGGAGCCAUUGGUUUCGACUGAUGGUGAGAGUGGCGCACGGGUGCGUAACACGUAGCUGACCUGCCCUUCGCAGGGGGAUAACUUGCCGAAAGGUGAGCUAAUACCGCGUAAUCUCAUGGGACCUAGCACCCCAUGAGGAAAGCUGAGGCGGCGAAGGAGGGGGCUGGGCCCAUCAGCUANUUGGUAGGGUAAAGGCCUACCAGGCGAUGACGGGUAGGGGUGCCUGAGAGGGUGACCCCCCACACUGGCACUGAGAUACGGGCCAGACUCCUACGGGAGGCAGCAGUAAGGAAUAUUGCACAAUGGGCGCAAGCCUGAUGCUGCAACGCCGCGUGAAGGAUGAAGGCUUUCGAGUUGUAAACUUCUUUUCUGCGGGAAGAGAACGGACGGUACCGCAGGAACAAGUCUCGGCUAACUACGUGCGAGCAGCCGCGGUUAAAACGUAGGAGGCGAGCGUUAUCCGGAUUUACUGGGCGUAAAGCGCACGCAGGGCGGUGGCAUCAGUGAUGCGUGAAAGCUCGCGGUUCAACUGGGAGAGGCCGUUUCAAUACUGGGGCCCUGGAGACAGAUAGAGGCAUACGGGAGUCACGGGUGGAGUUGCUGAAAUGCGUAGAGAUCCGGAGGAACACCAGUGGCGAAGGCGGUAUGCUGGGUCUGAUCUGACGCUGAGGUGCGAAAGCGUGGGGAGCGAACGGGAUUAGAAACCCCGGUAGUCCACGCCGUAACCGAUGCAAACUAGAUGUUAGCGGUCGAAAGGCCGUGAGUGUCGUAGCUAACGCGAUAAGUUUGCCGCCUGGGGACUACGGCCGCAAGGCUAAAACUCAAAGGAAUUGACGGGGACCCGCACAAGCAGCGGAGCGUGUGGUUUAAUUCGAGGCUACGCGAAGAACCUUACCUGGGCUUGACAUGAUGGUAGUAGCGACCUGAAAGGGAAGCGACCUUCGGGAGCCAUCACAGGUGCUGCAUGGCUGUCGUCAGCUCGUGCCGUGAGGUGUUCGGUUAAGUCCGAAAACGAGCGCUACCCCUAGCCCUAGUUACAAGUGUCUAGUGCGACUGCCCGGGGAAACUGGGAGGAAGGUGGGGAUGACGUCAAGUCAGCAUGGCCUUUAUGUCCAGGGCUACACACACGCUACAAUGGCCGGUACAAUAGGCAGCCAAGCCGCGAGGCGG
rnacentral:rRNA from 1 species